ACUGACAAAGGGGAGGCUGAAGAAUUGGCUGAAGUUGAAGCAAAAUUGAAUGCUGAUUGGAAAGCUAACACAGGAACAACCAAAGAGGAUGUCAAGGUUGAUGAUGAAUUGAAGAAGCAAAGACGACCAUUUCUUUCACAGUUCUUCUCACCUAUAUUCUUGAAGGCAUUUUCCAUUACAUUCUUUGGUGAAUGGGGUGACAAGAGCCAGAUAGCAACCAUUGGUUUGGCUGCAGAUGAGAACCCAUUUGGUGUUGUUUUUGGUGGAAUUCUAGGCCAAGCAUUGUGUACUACUGCUGCUGUUGUUGGAGGAAAAAGCCUGGCAUCUCAGAUAUCUGAGAGAAUAGUUGCCCUGUCAGGUGGAGUUCUUUUUAUAAUUUUUGGGAUCCAGUCCUUCCUUUCAACAGCGGAUUCACGAGGCUCCUGAUCUUUGCCAAUGGUUAGUAGUUGUAACACACUCCAAUACCUCAUCUCAUAAGUCAGUGGCUAUUAAAAUACUCGGGUGGGAAGAAAUUUAAAAAAUACGGUGUCUUUCAACUAAUUUAUGGAAGAGAAAAAGAAAAUGCUGCAAAACCUAAGUUCAACUGAAUAUUCAUGAUUGGUUGAAUGAUAAUGUUUUUUUGGUGGUAUGCAAUGGCACCUAAUUUUCCUUCUCACUGGAGGCAGUACUGUCU
rnacentral:misc_RNA from 1 species